CUACUAGAAACACUAUCGCAUGAUCAAUUUGUGCUAACUGCAGUUACCCUUUGGGCAAUCUGGUCUUCUAGGAGGAAAGCCAUCCAUGAAGCUAUAUUUCAAUCCCCACAUGCAAUACAAUCGUUCAUCUCUCAGUUUAUUGCAGACUUGAACGUUGUGCGGGCAAAACAGACAACACAGCAAAGAGUGGCUAAUGUGCAAUCAGGAACCAUUAAUCGACCAAGAGCUCCUCCGGGAAAUUUUGCUAAGAUUCACGUGGACGCGGGUGUACGUGCCCAAAGAGGUGGGUCGGCAGCAGAGGUCUGCAGGGACAGCCACGGCGACUUUUUGGGAAGCUCAGCGCUAGUCGUGUAUGGAGUCAGUGAUCCAGCGACGUUGGAGGCGAUAGCCUGACGGGAAGCUAUAUUCCUUGCUGAAGAUCUUCAUCUCCAAAGAUUCAUCAUCUCUUCUGACUGCAAGCAGGUGGUGGAAGACAUCACGAAGGGCAGCAAUGGUCUCCACGGAGCAAUCAUUCAAGAGAUAAAAUCUAGAUCGGCCCCCUUUUCUUCUAACUUUAUUUUUGAAAGUCAUAGUGUUAAUGUCAAAACUCAUAGGUUAGCAAAAUUUGCUAGAAACCUAGCUCCGGGGCUUCAUGUUUGGCCUGGCCAGCGACAUGAUCCAGUUUGCAUCCCACCUUCUGUGGAAUUUGAUCAAUAA
rnacentral:rRNA from 1 species